rnacentral:rRNA from 1 species
GACGAACGCUGGCGGCGUGCUUAACACAUGCAAGUCGAACGGAAAGGCCCUGCUAUUGUGGGUUGCUCGACUGGCGAACGGGUGAGUAACACGUGAGUAACCUGCCCUUGACAUCGGGAUAACGUCAGGAAACUUGGGCUAAUACCGGAUAGGAGCUCCUGCUGCAUGGUGGGGCUUGGAUAGUUUCGGGGGUUGGGGAUGGGCUCGUGGCGUAUUAGCUUGUGGGUGGGGUAGUAGGUUACCAAGCCUUUGACGGGUAGCCGGCCUGAGCGGGUGAGCCGCCGCAAUGGGACUGAGAUAAGGCCCAGACUCCUGCGGGAGGCAGCAGUGGUGAGUAGUGCACAAUGGGCGGAAGCCUAAUGCAGCAACGCCGCGUGGGGGAAGAAGGCCUUCGAGUUGUACACCGCUGUUGGCCGUGACGAAGCGUGAAUGACGGUAAUGGGUAAAGAAGCACCGGCUAACUACGUG